rnacentral:rRNA from 1 species
UACGUAGGAGGCGAGCGUUGUCCGGAGUUACUGGGCGUAAAGGGUGCGCAGGCGGCCGUUCCGCGUGGCGAGAUGAAAUCUCCUGGCUUACCUGGGAGGGUGGUCGCCAGACGGGAGCGCUUGAGGGUCGGAGAGGGGCGUGGAAUUCCGGGUGGAGCGGUGAAAUGCGUAGAGAUCCGGAGGAACACCGACGGCGUAGGCAGCGCCCUGGACGACACCUGACGCUGAGG